AUAAGUUUGGAAUUUGGAAAAAUACCAAUAAAUAGAAGUUGUAGAUAAUUGAAUUAGCUUUCCAACCAUAGGUCGUGGGUUCUCAGGUGACGUCGGUACAAGGAGAUAUGGACGUUUUAAGGUCGAAAGGUCAGUGGGCUAGGCCCAACUCGGAAUCAACCGAGUUGGCCCAAAAAAAUAAAAAAACGAAUUUAGGCCCAAAAGUGAGGGUGGCCGGCCAUACCUGGCCCAACCCAUGUCACUUAAUUAAUUUUUCAUGUGAUAAAUAAGACUAGAAGGGAUCAUUAGUCUUAGAAACUUCAAGAAAAUUUGAGAAAGAGAAAAACAACAAAAAGAAGAACAAAAGCUUAAAGGCCAUACGGCCAUAGCUUGCAAAUUUUUGCCCUUUGAAAUCUUUCUCCAAAAAUUAUUUUCUUGUGGUAUUUCUACUAAUUCAAGGGUCCUUUACAACUUGGUGUAAUUAUUUUGGAAGAAAGAGCACUUGUUUCUUCAAGUUGACAACUUGGUCAAGUGAAAAAGAUUGUAGAAAAAGAUUUUGGCGAACUUGAAACUUGAUUUUAGAGACGUGUAUGAAGCGGAAAAGGUCAGCAGACAGGUGGACGUGAUCCUUAGAAGCUCUACCAGCCGCACUUGACAGCGCUCCAGUUGUUCCGGAGCCUCACUCCAGCGGUACUAUUUUAUGCAUAUACAUUCGGGCUUGGUAGCACCCCGGCCCUUUCUAUGUAUAAGUGUACUAUGUCUAGAGGCUCGUAGACAGAUACGUACAGUCAGUCAGGUACAGAUAUAUGUAUGGUGUUUUGGCAUGUUAAUAUUGUUGUACAAGGUAAUAACGGAGUUUAUUAGUUUAUGUUCAAGGAAAAAAAAAUGGCUCGGUUUACACGGCUUGCUAAGAGGUACAGGUAAUACGAUAGAUAAGGGGUGCUCGGUACAAGUAUCGGGUACUCGUCACGGCCCCUAGUCGGGUCGUGACAGUUAGAGUCAGAAGAAGACUUCAUAAUUUCUUUGUUUUGAAGACGGUCCUUCAAGGACGUCCUUGUCCUUGUCCUCCCCUCCUUCUCUUGGGAGUUUUCUGGAUCAAACAACUUGUUCUCUACAUCUUCAGAUCAUCCUUUCAGUUCAUCGAGAUGAAACGACUGGAGGGAGAUACGGUCAAGAUUCUGGUCGAGUUGUGCGGCUUGCUUUAUUUGGAUUUCUUUGGGGCUAUCAUUUGGACUUUCAUUCGAUACAAAAUCAUAUAUUGGAAGACGAUCCAAUACAAAAUCAGACAUCUCUUCUUAGUUGCUGUUUGACAUUCUGAAAAGUUUUGAGAGUUGGUUAUUUUGGAGGUGAGAAACCUCCUCCUUUCUAUAGAAGCCAUGGUCAAAAUCAUUAGGUAAAAAUAGAAAUUCAGUGUUUUCAUACAACAUGGGUUCAUUUCGGGGAAUAGAGAAGUGAAAAGGUAGAUAUAAUUAUUAUUUGGUUAUGUGAGGAUCAAAUGAAAUAAGAGCAAGAAAGGUAUGUUUGGGCUCUGUACUUGUGGGAUAGUAUCUUUGUGUUGUAGGAAUCAUUUGAACCUUUAUGUGCAUUGACUUGAGAAC